rnacentral:rRNA from 1 species
UACGGGGGGGGCAAGCGUUGUUCGGAAUUACUGGGCGUAAAGGGCUCGUAGGUGGCCAACUAAGUCAGACGUGAAAUCCCUCGGCUUAACCGGGGAACUGCGUCUGAUACUGGAUGGCUUGAGUUCGGGAGAGGGAUGCGGAAUUCCAGGUGUAGCGGUGAAAUGCGUAGAUAUCUGGAGAAACACCGGUGGCGAAGGCGGCAUCCUGGACCGACACUGACACUGAGGAGCGAAAGCCAGGGGAGCAAACGGG